GACGAACGCUGGCGGCGUGCUUAACACAUGCAAGUCGAACGCUGAAGCUCAGCUUUUGUUGGGUGGAUGAGUGGCGAACGGGUGAGUAACACGUGAGUAACCUGCCUCCUUCUUUGGGAUAACGCCCGGAAAAGGGUGCUAAUACUGGAUAUUCACUGGUCUUCGCAUGGGGGUUGGUGGAAAGGGUUUUUCUGGUGUGGGAUGGGCUCGCGGCCUAUCAGCUUGUUGGUGGGGUUAUGGCCUACCAAGGCUUUGCCGGGUAGCCGGCCUGAGAGGGUGACCGGUCACAUUGGGACUGAGCUACGGCCCAGACUACUACGGGGGGCAGAAGUGGGGAAUAUUGCACAAUGGGCGCAAGCCUGAUGCAGCGACGCCGCGUGAGGGAUGGAGGCCUUCGGGUUGUGAACCUCUUUCGCUCAUGGUCAAGCCGCAACAAUGGUUGUGGUGAGGGUAGUGGGUAAAGAAGCGCCGGCUAACUACGUG
rnacentral:rRNA from 1 species